UAUAUAUAUAUAUAUAUAUAUAGCUGUGUUAGUGUUAAGAUUUUUCCCCUUUCUUUUGUCUAAACUCUGGAGAAAGAACAACCAUGGAAAUUAGAAGGGAGCAUGGAAUAUUUCUUUCUGAGCGGCUGAAAACAAGCACCAAAGUCCACCAGAGUUAUUUAUAGAGACAGAAGUUUGGACAGAGCUCUUAAAAAAGUGGUCAGUGGAAUAUUACCUUCAAGAUGAACAUGUAUGCAGCCGGAGAACAUUCUCAAGCUUCUGGAUGGCUCACGAAGGGAGAGUGUAUCUGGUGCUGAUGUGUGGUGCUGGUUUUGAGGCCAUAUCUCAUUUGUAGCCAGGUAGCUGCCACCUGCUUCUCUAGACUUCGCCGGAGUAAUUCAUGCUGAGCGUCUGUCUCGAUUCGGGGAAGGCGCCGCUGCAUCCACGUUUCACAAUAAAUAUCUUUUUAAACGG